rnacentral:rRNA from 1 species
GACGAACGCUGGCGGCGUGCUUAACACAUGCAAGUCGAACGGAAAGGCCCUGCUUUUGUGGGGUGCUCGAGUGGCGAACGGGUGAGUAACACGUGAGUAACCUGCCCUUGACUUUGGGAUAACUUCAGGAAACUGGGGCUAAUACCGGAUAGGAGCUCCUGCUGCAUGGUGGGGGUUGGAAAGUUUCGGCGGUUGGGGAUGGACUCGCGGCUUAUCAGCUUGUUGGUGUGGUAGUGGCUUACCAAGGCUUUGACGGGUAGCCGGCCUGAGAGGGUGACCGGCCACAUUGGGACUGAGAUACGGCCCAGACUCCUACGGGAGGCAGCAGUGGGGAAUAUGGCACAAUGGGCGGAAGCCUGAUGCAGCAACGCCGCGUGCGGGAUGACGGCCUUCGGGUUGUAAACCGCUUUCGCCUGUGACGAAGCGUGAGUGACGGUAAUGGGUAAAGAAGCACCGGCUAACUACGUG